GCAAUGGGGGGGCGGUGGCAGGAACUGGCAUGGUGCCCCCCCAGUGGCGCCUAGGGCACGUGCCCUGCCUGCCCCCCCCUAGUUCCGCCUAUGUCCGUGGUGUUUACACAGACACAGGGGAGCAGGUGGUGCUCCAGCUGUCUGCAUUACUCAAAGACAUACCAUUGCGUGAGUUGUUAAAGAAUUAUGCUGCACUUCAGUAUGAAGAAACCUGAACUGCAUUACUGCACCCUAAUUGGCAGUACCAAUUGCCUCUACUCAAGAUAAAAAAAGAAUGGAAAGGAAGAUGAUUAGAAAUGCAGGAUAAAAGACAAACCACCAUUAGUUGUUGAAAGCUUCAAAUUCAUCAUAUGCUAUUUAUUUUUUUAUCUGUGUUGCAUGUUCUCAGUGUUAUAAUGUUCAGUUUAUUUUUCUAAGCAAUACAGUCAAUAACAUCUUAUCAUGCCUGGGAUAUAUCGAUAUUUGAUAUAUAUUUUAUUUAUUUAUUAAACUUCUAUACCGCCCAAACCUUUGUCUCCGGGCGGUUAUAUCAAUCUAUAGUGUAACUUUAUAGAGAAGAAUAAACUGGCAUACAUUA